GAACACCAGUGGCGAAGGCGGCUUUCUGGACUGUAACUGACGCUGAGGCACGAAAGCGUGGGUAGCAAACAGGAUUAGAUACCCUGGUAGUCCACGCCGUAAACGAUGGAUACUAGGUGUAGGGGGUAUCAACUCCCUCUGUGCCGCAGUUAACACAAUAAGUAUCCCGCCUGGGGAGUACGGUCGCAAGAUUAAAACUCAAAGGAAUUGACGGGGGCCCGCACAAGCAGCGGAGCAUGUGGUUUAAUUCGAAGCAACGCGAAGAACCUUACCUGGACUUGACAUCCCUUGCAUAGCCUAGAGAUAGGUGAAGCCCUUCGGGGCAAGGAGACAGGUGGUGCAUGGUUGUCGUCAGCUCGUGUCGUGAGAUGUUAGGUUAAGUCCUGCAACGAGCGCAACCCUUGUUAUUAGUUGCUACCAUUAAGUUGAGCACUCUAAUGAGACUGCCUGGGUAACCAGGAGGAAGGUGGGAUGACGUCAAAUCAUCAUGCCCCUUAUGUCCAGGGCUACACACGUGCUACAAUGGNANGUACAANAAGANGCAAGACCGNGAGGUGGAGCAAAACUUAUAAANCNNNUCNCAGUUCGGAUUGUAGGCUGNAACUCGCCUACAUGAAGCNG
rnacentral:rRNA from 1 species